rnacentral:lncRNA from 10 species
AACUUUUUUAAAAGUGAAAAAGGAAGCAAAUAAUACUGUAUAUUUCAUACACUAUAUCUUAAUUUGAGAUAUAUAUGUAUGUAUAUUUAAAUUUAGAACCAUAUAUUAAAAUUUUUGCAGUGGUUAUUUCUGAAAGGUGGUUUAUGGAUGGAUUAAAUUUCUUUCUUUGUACUUUUCUGUAUUUUUCAAAUUUUCUACAAACGACCAUAGUAGAAAAUAAUAGAGAAGCUGCAAAAAAGGGAGAAAAUUUUUAUAAUAGAGAAAAAGUUGCAAAAAAGGGGAGACACCCAAGUUUAUAGUACUAUAUUUUAGGCAAAUUGCCAUGAAAAAUUGUUAAACUUAAAAAAAAAACUUAAAGAGGUAAGGUUUGGUGUUAUUGAGCACUUCAAAUGUGGCUAGCUCAAACUGAGAUAGCUGUAAGUAUAAAUUACCAAAUGGAUUUCAAAGUCUUAGUGCAAAAAGAGAAUAUGAAAUAUCUCAUGUAUUUUUAAACAUUGGUUACAUGAUAAAAAAAAUUUUGUUAGAUUAAAUAAACUAUAUUAUUUUCUUAGUCCAUUUUGUGCUGCUAUAACAGAAUGUCUGACACUGGUUAGUUUACAAUUCUGGAGGCUGGAGUCCAAGGUCAAGGGGUGGCAUCUGGUGAUGGCCUUCUUGCUUCAUCAUCCCAUGGCAGAAGGCAGGAGAGCAAGAGAAUGUGUAGGAGAGAAAUAGAGGGCCAAACUCAUUUUUCUAACAAGCCCUCUCUUGAGAUAACUAACUUACUCCCUCAAUAACAACAUUAAUCCACUCACAAGGGCAGAGCCUUCAUGACCUAAUCGGCACUUAUUAGGCUGUACCACCAACAUUGCUGCAUUGGGGAUAAAGUUUCUGAUACAUAAACUUUGGGGAACAUAUUCAAAUCAUAGGAAUUGUUAAAAGUAAUUUUAUGUAUUUCUUUUUACUUUUUAAAAUGUACCUACCAGAAAGUUUACAAUUAAACAUAUGGCUGAUGUUUGUGGCUAUAUAUGUAUUGGACAGUGCUGGUCUAGAAUAUCAUCCAAUUUUUAAUAAACCCCUGAAACCCAAGUGACUUUAAGUGCUUUACCUUUCCCCUAACAUCCUCUUCAGUAUUAUCCAAUAAAAAGGCUUUAUCCUCCAUCCUAA